rnacentral:rRNA from 1 species
GACGAACGCUGGCGGCGUGCCUAAUACAUGCAAGUCGAGCGCAGAAGGCUGGUACUUGUACCAACUGGAUGAGCAGCGAACGGGUGGGUAACGCGUGGGGAAUCUGCCUUUGAGCGGGGGACAACAUUUGGAAACGAAUGCUAAUACCGCAUAAAAUCUUUAAACACAAGGUUUAAGUUUGAAAGAUGCAAUUGCAGCACUCAAAGAUGAUCCCGCGUUGUAUUAGCUAGGUGGUGAGGUAAAGGCUCAACAAGGCGAUGAUACAUAGCCGACCUGAGAGGGUGGUUGGCCACCAUGGGACUGGGACCCGGCCCAAACUCCUUCGGAUAGCAGCCGGAGGGCAUCUUCGGCAAGAGGCGGAAGACUUGCCGCGCCACGCCGCGGGGUGGAACAAGGUUGUCGGGUCCUAAAACUCUGUUGUUAGGGAAUAAACUUGGUGAGAGUGGAAAGCUCAGUAAGUGACGGUAACUACUCAGAAAGCGACGGCUAACUACGUG